AGAGUUUGAUCAUGGCUCAGAUUGAACGCUGGCGGCAGGCCUCAUACAUGCAAGUCGAACGAGAAAGUAUCUUCGGAUACGAGUACAGUGGCGGACGGGUGAGUAACACAUAGGAAUCUACCCAAUGGAGGGGGAUAGCUCGAGGAAACUCGAAUUAAUACCGCAUAAUCUCCACGGAGUAAAGAGGGCUUCGGCUCUUGCCAUCGGAUGAGCCUAUGCAGGAUUAGCUUGUUGGUGAGGUAAAAGCUCACCAAGGCAACGAUCCUUAGCUGGUUUGAGAGGAUGACCAGCCACAUCGGGACUGAGACACGGCCCGGACUUCUACGGAAGGCAGCAGUAGGGAAUAUUGGACAAUGAGCGAAAGCUUGAUCCAGCCAUGCCGCGUGUGCGAUGACGGCCUUCGGGUUGUAAAGCACUUUAGGUAACGAGGAAAAGUUAGGUGUUAAUACCAUCUAACCUUGACGUUAAUUACAGAAUAAGCACCGGCUAAAUCCGUGCCAGCAGCCGCGGUAAUACGGAUGGUGCAAGCGUUAAUCGGAAUUACUGGGCGUAAAGCGCGCGUAGGUGGCAUAUUAAGUUAGAUGUGAAAUCCCGAGGCUUAACCUCGGAACUGCAUCUAAAACUAAUAAGCUAGAGUACUAGAGAGGAAAGUAGAAUUCUUAGUGUAGCGGUGGAAUGCGUAGAUAUUAAGAGGAAUACCAAUGGCGAAGGCAACUUUCUGGAUAGAUACUGACACUGAGGUGCGAAAGCGUGGGGAGCAAACAGGAUUAGAUACCCUGGUAGUCCACACCGAUAAUUGCAUCGGAAUGUUUAGAUGUAUCUGCGACAACCUCGAUUAAUAUUCCUGCGAUUUUCAUUUUUUUUACCAUAAUAUCAUUUGGCCACUUUACCUUAACAUCUUCGAUUCCUAUAUCAAUCAAUGCUUCGUGAAUAGCAACCCCUAUCGCCAAACUUAAUCCGUUGGGAAUUAAUUUUUUGGGAUUGAAUCGCCAUUUCAAGGACAUAUAUAUG
rnacentral:rRNA from 1 species